rnacentral:rRNA from 1 species
UAUCGUAAUUGAAGAGGUUUGGAAAGACCCACCACAGAAGGUAAUAGUCCUGUAUGUUAAACGAGAAGACUUUAGAUAUGAUCCAGAGUACCACGGGACACGUGAAACCCUGUGGGAAGCAGGAGGGACCACCCUCCAAGGCUAAAUACUACCUAGUGACCGAUAGCGUAUAGUACCGUGAGGGAAAGGUGAAAAGAACCCCGGGAGGGGAGUGAAAUAGAACCUGAAACCCUGCACUUACAAGCUGUGGAAGCACAUUUCUUGUGUGACCGCGUACUUUUUGUAGAACGGGCCAACGAGUUACGUUAAGUAGCAAGGUUAAGCACUUAAGGUGCGGAGCCGUAGCGAAAGCGAGUUUUAACUGAGCGUUCAGUUACUUGACGUAGACCCGAAACCGGGCGACCUACCCAUGAGCAGGAUGAAGCGAAAGUAAAAUUUCGUGGAGGUCCGAACCCACGAGCGUUGAAAAGCUCGGGGAUGACUUGUGGGUAGCGGUGAAAUUCCAAUCGAGCCCGGAGAUAGCUGGUUCUCCCCGAAAUAGCUUUAGGGCUAGCCUCAAGGUGAGAGAUACGGAGGUAGAGCACUGAAUGUCCUAGGGGGUAUUGCACCUACCGAAGACUAUCAAACUCCGAAUGCCGUCAUCUUAUACUUGGGAGUCAGACUGUGGGUGAUAAGAUUCAUAGUCGAAAGGGCAACAGCCCAGAUCGUCAGCUAAGGUCCCUAAAUGUAAGUUAAGUGGUAAAGGAUGUGGGAUUGCACAGACAACCAGGAUGUUGGCUUAGAAGCAGCCACUCAUUCAAAGAGUGCGUAAUAGCUCACUGGUCGAGUGAUCCUGCGCCGAAGAUUUCCGGGGCUAAAACUUACUACCGAAGCUACGGCAUCAGUAAUGAUGGGUAGGGGAGCUUCCCAUACGGGUUGAAGCAUGACCGUAAGGACAUGUGGACAGUAUGGGAGUGAGAAUGUUGGCAUGAGUAGCGAGAUGUGGGUGAGAAUCCCACAGGCCGUAAACCCAAGGUUUCCAGGGGAAGGUUCGUCCGCCCUGGGUUAGUCGGGACCUAAGCUGAGGCCGAAAGGCGUAGGUGAUGGACAACAGGUUGAUAUUCCUGUAC